AUUGAACGCUGGCGGCAGGCCUAACACAUGCAAGUCGAGCGAGCGGCGGACGGGGGAGGAAUGUAUGGGGACUGCCCGAUAGAGGGGGAUAACUACGGGAAACGGUGGCUAAUACCGCAUACAGGCGGAUAAGCCAUAUGGGAUUAGCUAGUAGGGAAGGUAAUGGCUUACCUAGGCGACGAUCCCUAGCUGGUCUGAGAGGAUGAUCAGCCACACUGGGACUGAGACACGGCCCAGACUCCUACGGAGGCAGCAGUGGGGAAUAUUGCACAAUGGGCGCAAGCCUGAUGCAGCCAUGCCGCGUGUAUGAAGAAGGCCCUAGGGUUGUAAAGUACUUUCAGUCGGGAGGCGUUACCGACAGAAGAAGCACCGGCUAACUCCGUGCCAGCAGCCGCGGUAAUUC
rnacentral:rRNA from 1 species